CCUACGGGGGGCAGCAGUGAGGAAUAUUGGUCAAUGGACGAGAGUCUGAACCAGCCAAGUAGCGUGAAGGAUGACUGCCCUAUGGGUUGUAAACUUCUUUUAUAUGGGAAUAAAACGUUCCACGUGUGGGAUUUUGUAUGUACCAUAUGAAUAAGGAUCGGCUAACUCCGUGCCAGCAGCCGCGGUAAUACGGAGGAUCCGAGCGUUAUCCGGAUUUAUUGGGUUUAAAGGGAGCGUAGGUGGAUUGUUAAGUCAGUUGUGAAAGUUUGCGGCUCAACCGUAAAAUUGCAGUUGAAACUGGCAGUCUUGAGUACAGUAGAGGUGGGCGGAAUUCGUGGUGUAGCGGUGAAAUGCUUAGAUAUCACGAAGAACUCCGAUUGCGAAGGCAGUUCACUGGACUGCAACUGACACUGAGGCUCGAAAGUGUGGGUAUCAAACAGGAUUAGAUACACUUGUAGUC
rnacentral:rRNA from 1 species